ACGGAAGGCAGCAGUGGGGAAUAUUGCACAAUGGGGGAAACCCUGAUGCAGCAACGCCGCGUGAGUGAUGAAGUAUUUCGGUAUGUAAAGCUCUAUCAGCAGGGAAGAAAAUGACGGUACCUGACUAAGAAGCCACGGCUAACUACGUGCCAGCAGCCGCGGUAAUACGUAGGUGGCAAGCGUUAUCCGGAUUUACUGGGUGUAAAGGGCGCGUAGGCGGGGAUGCAAGUCAGAUGUGAAAUCCAUGGGCUCAACCCAUGAACUGCAUUUGAAACUGUAUCUCUUGAGUGUCGGAGAGGUAGACGGAAUUCCUAGUGUAGCGGUGAAAUGCGUAGAUAUUAGGAGGAACACCAGUGGCGAAGGCGGUCUACUGGACGAUAACUGACGCUGAGGCGCGAAAGCGUGGGGAGCAAACAGGAUUAGAUACCCUGGUA
rnacentral:rRNA from 1 species